GUUAAUUUUUAUACUGAUUUAUUUGAUAUCAGUUUUUCACCGGUUACUUUAAAAUGUGUUUGUAAACACAAAGGUUUCUACUUUCGUGUAUUUUUAAAUAUUCAUUUGAAACUGGAUUGAUAGCAGUUAUACAGUUUUCAAGCGCACUGCAAAUGUCUUAAAAUUAGUUAAUUGUAUCUACUUCGUCUGUAGGUUAGUUUUAAUUUCCUCAUUUGUCACGUGAGAAACUUUGUAUUUUAGUUUUUAUAGCCUCGGGGUCAGGUUGGUUGCUAAAUCUAAAAUGGCAUGCCUGAAUACAUUUUAUCUUCAUAUAUCAUUCUCUUUUGGGACAUAAAAUAACCUAUCUACAGUUUAUGUUUGGCCGAAGAGAGGUGCAGCAUUGGGCUGACAGAUUGGGGGUCACAGAGUCAUUCAUGGGCAAGUCAAUAUGCAAAAGGAAGAGCAUCUUCUGGCUUGUAACAUUCCUCUGACAGUGUGCAGGAAGUUAUACCACACAUAAGGCAUGUCAACUGAUUUUCAUCAAAAAAGGAAACAGCAGUUGCACAUGGGUCACAUUCUUAUGAAGGUAGUUUUAUUCUGUGAGCGACAAGAGGAUGAUGAGAAUGUUAUGAACCAGAGAUUAAGAUAUACUAACAGGGAAGGAUUUAGUAUUUGCUUUGUUAAUAGAUUAAAAUAAUCACUUGUUUAUUUUUUUAUUACAAUUAUUAUUAUUUUUAAUUUCUUUGUUUUAAGGCAAGAAAACAAAAAAGUGUGUGAUGUGUCCAAGUUUAUAAGCUGUGUGGGUGACACUUGUUGCAGGAUAUAAGUCCUAACUUGUGAGUCCUUUAAUUGUAUAUAAAUAAUAUUUAAAAAAAUGUCUGGGUCUGAUGUUAAUGAAGCCAUUAUUUAAACUUUACUGAUGGGCCUGUUGUGGUAUGGAAGUCAAAAAAAAUAUGUUUGAAAACAUUGGCUUAGACAACUGGGCACAUCGUUAGAGUGUAAACAUUUGGGCUGUUACUAGUGAACAAACCAUGUUUCCCAGCGGUGCAAGGAAUACAACUAUCUUUCAUUGUGAGAUACAAAGUCUAGUCAUGCAGUCAAAAUGGCAUCUUUUAGUCUGGUUUAUUAUUUAGUCCUUUAUUGCUUUAGACUCAAAUAUGUCAAGACUAGUUUGCUUUCUGUUAAGAUUUGUAACCAUAAACACAAACAAACAUUUUAGGUGAUUCUAGAGUAUAUGCAGACCUGCAGAUAGUGAUGAUUCAAGAUGGAGGAUGUGAUGGCUCUGAAACAUUGUGACAGAACUGGAAAAUAAAAGUGAUGCUGAUAAACUACAGAUCUGGAAGCAGAGGGGACAUAGGCUGAAGGUUCAAAGUGUUGACAUGAUGUAAUUCAUGAUUGACAUGUAUCAAAAUGCACUGUUUAUGCAUUGUUUUUUGGCCAAGUUAAGUGCAACAUCUAACAUGGCGACUGGCAGCAGGGGAGAGGUGCUUUCGCUUUGAGGAUAUCCUGUUAAAACCCUGUGCACAGUUCUCCAUUUUGAAGCUGCUAACUUCCUCUUGCAUUUGAUGCCAUGACCCAGCUUCUUAAGUUCCUUAUAUUGCUCAAAGAUUAACGGGGUGAAUAUACCUCCUUUUACACACUGACAGAACAUAUUGUCCAAAAAAUGAAAAUGUCGUUAUUAUUUACUUAUUCACCCAUUAAUUAAAUUUGAAAAUAUAUUUUUAACACAGUGAUAAUUCAACAUGACCACAACCUAUCCAGCUGCAGCAAAAGCAUCAUUUAAAACCACAAUAAUUUAGUCCACAUUAAUUGUGCGCUAGGUUUGCUCUCAUUAUGUUUGCUUAUGACACUGGAGAACAAAGGUGAAUAUUAUCAGAGACAACAACUUCAAUCUGGUUUAUUCCUCACACAGAUCUAUUGUAUGCCUUCUGAAUGCUUUACAUCUAGUGUAAUAUAAUGCUUUAAUAGACAGCCAGUGGUCACUGUGAGCUGUCAUUGUAUGGAAAAGAUUUAUGUGAAGAUUCUUAAAUUAUUUAGUGUGUGUCCCACUUCUUUACUAGUCAUGCUCCACUACUGAUAAAUAUUAAAAACCUCUAGAACUCAAACUUACUAAAUGGUUAUGUAUAUCAUAAAUGGUCACACUAUACUUUUUAAUCCAUUGACUUCCAUUCAUAUGGAAAUGCAGCUAUUGGAAAUGCAAUUCAUGUGAAUUCGCUACGUACCAGAUUUUGGUGAACGCUGAGCUGUGAAUUGUGUCACGUGAAGAUGUGUGACUGAUAAAAGAUUGAUGUGACACGGUGUGACCCCUUAGCUGAAUUACAAGUACUUAAACGCAAAAGCUGCAGUGUAGAAAGUAAUGUGGAGUAGAUUGUAUUUUUUUAUAUUUUGUAUUUAAUAUUAUUUGUGAUGUGUUGAUUGUAUGUCUUUGAGAAGGAUGCCAUAGUGUGACAUCAUAUCACAACCUUUGCAGUGUCAAAAAAAUAUGGCAUGCACAGUGCAUGUCCAGUGUGUCUAUAGAAUCAGUCCUGUUAUAUAAAAUAUUCACAUGAUUGUGUAUCAUGCACAUGUCUUGGGUGUGUUUAGAACUUUAACUGUAAAUCAAUUUCAGAUAACUGAGUGAACAAAGGUAAACAAAAACAAAUCAAAGUAUGUCAGGGCAAUAAUUCAACAAUUUAUUUUCAAUUCAACAAAACCAAAUGUGACCCCCAAUUUUUUUUUUCAUAUUUAUAUGUGUUCUUAUUUGUUCAUGCAUGUGCCAACACUUACCCUGUAGCACCUUGAUUUUUUUUUUUCUUCCUUUUUUGUUUUGUUUUUAACCCUGAUGCUAUCACACACUGAGUUCUCUGAAUUGUCAUGACUUCCAGGUGGGCAUUUUAUAUGUUCCUGACACAAAUGACUAUCUUCUGAGUAUCAGUUUCUGUAUAAGCUCUUGCUUUCUGCUGAAAACAGCUCUGCUUAAACACGAGGCCCUUCAGUUUUAUACGAUCAGCUCAAGAACAAGAACAAGCCUUUUACACACGAAUAGCUACAACAAUGUUUUUUGCUCAUGUUUAAUCAAAGAGAGAAAGAGCAUGAAGAAGUUUAAGCAACCAAGGGCACAUUUUCAAAGACACACUUCAAAAAGAGGCUUGCUGUCUCUCUUCCUGGCUGACACCGCCCAACUUCCUGUCAUCCUUUCACGACAAUGCCAGGCACCAUACUGAGUUUUCUCUUGUGCUUUUUCUCUCUGAAUCUAUCUCUCUCCCUGUAUCUAUAUCUGAUUCAAAACUUCAAAGAGAUUCGGAAAGAACCUCUUAACAGUGAUCUCCCACUGUUUUCUAAUUAUGUUUUCAGCACACUGCCUCCAGUGUGUCCUGAAAUUUGUAUAGAUUAAAAUGUAUUCAAGUAUUCUUAGUGGUGAAGGCAUUUUUGAUUUCCACAGUGGCUCUAGACACAGACUCAGUUCUGUUAAUAUUACAUUAUUUCGUCAUGGCUUGUCAAAAUGGAUUACAGAAAUUUUGCAGUGCAUUUAGUGCACAAUACAUCAGAGCCCAGCCCUUCAGUCAAGUGCACACAAGUCUGGAUAAACCAAACGACAUGUGGUUAUUACCAUGUGUGUCUAUGUAUGUUUUUCCAUGUGUUUUUUUUUUUUUUAAUGCAAAUGAGAGCAAGAUAGAGAAAUCAAGCAGUGAGUGUAAUAAAGAAAGCAAAUAGUUCUGAUGUGACUGAA